rnacentral:rRNA from 1 species
AUUGAACGCUGGCGGCAGGCUUAACACAUGCAAGUCGAGCGGAGAUGAGGUGCUUGCACCUUAUCUUAGCGGCGGACGGGUGAGUAAUGCUUAGGAAUCUGCCUAUUAGUGGGGGACAACAUUCCGAAAGGAAUGCUAAUACCGCAUACGUCCUACGGGAGAAAGCAGGGGAUCUGCGGACCUUGCGCUAAUAGAUGAGCCUAAGUCGGAUUAGCUAGGUGGUGGGGUAAAGGCCUAACAAGGCGACGAUCUGUAGCGGGUCUGAGAGGAUGAUCCGCCACACUGGGACUGAGACACGGCCCAGACUCCUACGGGAGGCAGCAGUGGGGAAUAUUGGACAAUGGGGGGAACCCUGAUCCAGCCAUGCCGCGUGUGUGAAGAAGGCCUUAUGGUUGUAAAGCACUUUAAGCGAGGAGGAGGCUACUGAGACUAAUACUCUUGGAUAGUGGACGUUACUCGCAGAAUAAGCACCGGCUAACUCUGUGCCAGCCGCCGCAGUAACAC